AAUCAUAAUUGUUUGAUCUGGGCGAAUAGCGUCUGAAAUUUCCACCAUCUCAGCAAACAACUCCUGCUCCUGCUGAUGCCUACCAGAUGUAUCAACGAUGAUAACGUCAAAUCUAUCGUUUUUGAACUUAUCAACACCUUCCUUGGCAAUAACGACUGGGUCAGUCUCGGUGUAACUACCAAAGUAAGGAACACGUGCUUUGAUAGCAUUCUGCUUUAAUUGAUCAAAAGCACCAGCACGGAAAGUAUCGGCAGCAACCAAACACGAUUUCAAACCUCUCCUUUGGUAGUGCAGAGCAAGCUUUGAGCAUGUUGUCGUUUUACCACUGCCUUGUAAACCUACCAUCAUGAUCACUGAAGGUCUCCCUUUUUUAGGAGUAAAAGCAUCAACUUUAGGGUCAACCAAACUGCAAAGUUCAUCAAAGACAGCCUUCUGGACGAUUCGCUUCCCAUUUAUACCCUGAGGCAAAGUUGAUACAUUGAUUUUUUUCUUAAUAUUUGAACGUAAUUCUUGAACCAAUCGCACAUUAAC